CAGAGGGGGCAAGCGUUGUUCGGAAUUACUGGGCGUAAAGGGCGCGUAGGCGGCCUUCUAAGUCGAACGUGAAAUCCCCGGGCUCAACCCGGGAACUGCGUCCGAGACUGAAAGGCUUGAAUCCGGGAGAGGGAUGUGGAAUUCCAGGUGUAGCGGUGAAAUGCGUAGAUAUCUGGAGGAACAUCGGUGGCGAAGGCGGCAUCCUGGACCGGUAUUGACGCUGAGGCGCGAAAGCCAGGGGAGCAAACGGGAUUAGAUACCCCGGUAGUCCUGGCCCUAAACGAUGAAUGCUUGGUGUGGCGGGUAUCGAUCCCUGCCGUGCCGAAGCUAACGCAUUAAGCAUUCCGCCUGGGGAGUACGGUCGCAAGGCUG
rnacentral:rRNA from 1 species